CCUACGGAAGGCUGCAGUGGGGAAUAUUGGACAAUGGGGGCAACCCUGAUCCAGCCAUGCCGCGUGUGUGAAGAAGGCCCUCGGGUUGUAAAGCACUUUCAGUGAGGAAGAACGCCUGGUGGUUAAUACCCAUCAGGAAAGACAUCACUCACAGAAGAAGCACCGGCUAACUCCGUGCCAGCAGCCGCGGUAAUACGGAGGGUGCGAGCGUUAAUCGGAAUUACUGGGCGUAAAGCGCGCGUAGGUGGCUUGAUAAGCCGGUUGUGAAAGCCCCGGGCUCAACCUGGGAACGGCAUCCGGAACUGUCAAGCUAGAGUGCAGGAGAGGAAGGUAGAAUUCCCGGUGUAGCGGUGAAAUGCGUAGAGAUCGGGAGGAAUACCAGUGGCGAAGGCGGCCUUCUGGACUGACACUGACACUGAGGUGCGAAAGCGUGGGUAGCAAACAGGAUUAGAUACCCUAGUAGUC
rnacentral:rRNA from 1 species